GGCGAACGGGUGAGUAACACGUGAGCAAUCUGCCCCUGACUCUGGGAUAAGCGCUGGAAACGGCGUCUAAUACCGGAUACGAGCUGCGACCGCAUGGUCAGUAGCUGGAAAGAAUUUCGGUCAGGGAUGAGCUCGCGGCCUAUCAGCUUGUUGGUGAGGUAAUGGCUCACCAAGGCGUCGACGGGUAGCCGGCCUGAGAGGGUGACCGGCCACACUGGGACUGAGACACGGCCCAGACUCCUACGGGAGGCAGCAGUGGGGAAUAUUGCACAAUGGGCGAAAGCCUGAUGCAGCAACGCCGCGUGAGGGAUGACGGCCUUCGGGUUGUAAACCUCUUUUAGCAGGGAAGAAGCGAAAGUGACGGUACCUGCAGAAAAAGCGCCGGCUAACUACGUGCCAGCAGCCGCGGUAAUACGUAGGGCGCAAGCGUUAUCCGGAAUUAUUGGGCGUAAAGAGCUCGUAGGCGGUCUGUCGCGUCUGCUGUGAAAACCCGAGGCUCAACCUCGGGCCUGCAGUGGGUACGGGCAGACUAGAGUGCGGUAGGGGAGAUUGGAAUUCCUGGUGUAGCGGUGGAAUGCGCAGAUAUCAGGAGGAACACCGAUGGCGAAGGCAGAUCUCUGGGCCGUAACUGACGCUGAGGAGCGAAAGGGUGGGGAGCAAACAGGCUUAGAUACCCUGGUAGUCCACCCCGUAAACGUUGGGAACUAGUUGUGGGGUCCAUUCCACGGAUUCCGUGACGCAGCUAACGCAUUAAGUUCCCCGCCUGGGGAGUACGGCCGCAAGGCUAAAACUCAAAGGAAUUGACGGGGACCCGCACAAGCGGCGGAGCAUGCGGAUUAAUUCGAUGCAACGCGAAGAACCUUACCAAGGCUUGACAUAUAGAGGAAACGUCUGGAAACAGUCGCCCCGCAAGGUCUCUAUACAGGUGGUGCAUGGUUGUCGUCAGCUCGUGUCGUGAGAUGUUGGGUUAAGUCCCGCAACGAGCGCAACCCUCGUUCUAUGUUGCCAGCACGUAAUGGUGGGAACUCAUGGGAUACUGCCGGGGUCAACUCGGAGGAAGGUGGGGAUGACGUCAAAUCAUCAUGCCCCUUAUGUCUUGGGCUUCACGCAUGCUACAAUGGCCGGUACAAAGGGCUGCAAUACCGUGAGGUGGAGCGAAUCCCAAAAAGCCGGUCCCAGUUCGGAUUGAGGUCUGCAACUCGACCUCAUGAAGUCGGAGUCGCUAGUAAUCGCAGAUCAGCAACGCUGCGGUGAAUACGUUCCCGGGUCUUGUACACACCGCCCGUCAAGUCAUGAAAGUCGGUAACACCUGAAGCCGGUGGCCCAACCCUU
rnacentral:rRNA from 1 species